rnacentral:rRNA from 1 species
AGCUCGUGUCGUGAGAUGUUGGGUUAAGUCCCGUACGAGCGCAACCCUUGUCCUUAGUUACCAGCACGUUAUGGUGGGCACUCUAAGGAGACUGCCGGUGACAAACCGGAGGAAGGUGGGGAUGACGUCAAGUCAUCAUGGCCCUUACGGCCUGGGCUACACACGUGCUACAAUGGUCGGUACAAAGGGUUGCCAAGCCGCGAGGUGGAGCUAAUCCCAUAAAACCGAUCGUAGUCCGGAUCGCAGUCUGCAACUCGACUGCGUGAAGUCGGAAUCGCUAGUAAUCGUGAAUCAGAAUGUCACGGUGAAUACGUUCCCGGGCCUU